rnacentral:pre_miRNA from 1 species
ACUUUUCUGAAUUUGUCUUUAAGUAGGGAUAAAUUGCUCUUUAAAAAAAAAAAAAAAAGAAUCCUAGGCAGUUUUCCCUUCAAUCCAAAUGU